CCUGGAUUUCGGUUCGACCCUACCGACGGAAAAACAAGUUUUAGAACGGACUAAUUUGUUAAAAAUAAUGAAAAUAUAUCUGAUACAUAAAAUGCAGUCUGGGCACGUGGAAUAGCUCUCGGAUCGAUCCCACUAAACGCAACUGCAGAAGAACAAACAAACACUGACUACUAACAGUUCGAAGAUUCUGGGAAACCCUUUGAAGCCACGGUUAUGGCAGAUUCUAAUGGCGGGACUGAGACUAAGGUAGUAACAACCAAAAAAAGGUUCAAAUACCGAAACAUAAAUUUAAGCCACCAAAAAAGGUUCAAAUACCGAAACAUAAAUUCAAGCCACCAUUGCGGUUGGAUCUUAUUUAAGUAUAGUUUGCCUGAUUUGAACCCUGAAUUAGUGCUCUGUCGUUUGAGGAAAAUUUUUUCUAAAAUAGAGAAAAAAGAAAUAAGGGCAAGAGGAAAAUAGAUGAUUGUGAGCAUGAUGAAGUUAUGAACUCUGAGAUGGCUUUGCCUGGUAAUAAGCGCAUCAGGCUAAUUAAUGACAAUCAAGUAGGGGCUGAUUUUGAUGAUCCAAUGGCUGCUGAAUUUUGUGUUGAAGAGCUGUUGGAUAAUGUGAAUACGUUUGAGUUUGAUGGGAUCAAUUAUGGUGAUAAGAAUGAGGAUUUUUUUGCUGAUAUAGCAGAUUUUCCGGGGUCUGAUUUUGGUUCUGCUUGGUGCUUCUCGGAUGGGGGAAAAUGUGGUGCUUACAUUCGCUCUUCCUCUUCUCUACAAUUUUGGCCACUGAUAUGACACUGAGUUGUUGUUUUUGUAGAUAUGACAUGAUGCUCCCAGAAUUGCCAUGAUUGCGCCAAAUGUGUUCUUCAUUUUGAUCAUCACUGUGUUCGGCUUGGAACAUGCAUUGGUCAGGAAUCAUUGUCGAUUUUGGUAACCAACAAAUACAUAUCAGGAGGAUUUCAAUGGACUCCAAGGAGGUGCUGGUAAAAGGCUGCAGGCAUUAGAUGAUAAUCCUGUAGCAGCCUAUCUGAAUUGUGAUGCUAGCUUUAGAAGCACCAGUGGAGUUGCUGUUGAGGUUAUUCCCGGAAAUGAUGUGAGUUUCAGUGAAUAGAGGUGGGAAGGUUCUUCUGAUUGUAAAUGUUGCUUCCAAAUGUUAAAGUAAAUCAUAUUUUGUUUAAAAGAUGCUCAGCUCAUUAACAAAUUCCAUACACUCAGUCAAUUGAAAGUUGGUUAUCCAAAGACAUAGUUGCUCUCAGUGAAUAGCUCUAGUUAGAAAAGAAAAAAAAGGAUGAAGAAGUUCUUUGCAUUUGUAAGUAGCUUAGACAGAAAGUCAAGUGAAAAAUCGAUUUGAAAAAUAAAUUUCACCGUUUAUCAUUUAUUCACAUAAGAUGAAGAAGAUUAAGCUAAAGCAAAAACUUAUCAGGUCUUCAUCACUUGUAAAAAUCUAUUUAGAAUAAGUAUUCUGAAAUUUAAGCAAAUCAAACUGAGCAGAUAUUAAUUAUCAGACAUGUUCAAGUGUUUGCAGGCGCUCAUGGUAAGCUCUUGUGGUGAUAAUAUAUUCUCUUUGAGGUAUCAAGAUUAUGAAUAUAAGCUGUAAGGCCAGCUUUCUUGAGUUCUUGAGCCUGUUUCUUCUCUAGCAUGCAAAAACUGCAGCAAACCUCCAUGCCCAUAUCCAUGGAGAUGAUGACUGUUGGGUCUAUAGGUUCUGAUUUUGAAUGUCCAUUGAGCCCUGAAUUUAGGGUCAUUAAUCAGGUAGAAGAGGUAGAACAAGUAAUGUUAGAGUGUAAUGACAUCAGAUUUACAUGGAGAUGAUGAAGAUCAAUUAUGUUCAUGAGAAUGAAGAUUUCUUUUGACGUUUCAUUUGGGUUCUGAAUCUUUUACUUUGAUGGUUCUUAACAAAUGGGCGAAAAUGAAGGGCUGGUUUACAAAUGUUGGUGCCUGCUGUAUAUUCUUUCAUCCACUUCUCCAUAAUUUUGGCUACAAACACUUAAAUUGAGCCGCUGUCUUUUUGCAGAUAUGAUAAGGAAACUUGUUGAUUGUUC